AAAAUGAGAGUUUGAUCCUGGCUCAGGACGAACGCUGGCGGCGUGCCUAAUACAUGCAAGUCGAGCGAGCAUAACCAGCAGAUUUACUUCGGUAAU
rnacentral:rRNA from 1 species